AUUGAACGCUGGCGGCAGGCCUAACACAUGAAAGUCGAGCGGUAGCACAGAGAGCUUGCUCUCGGGUGACGAGCGGCGGACGGGUGAGUAAUGUCUGGGAAACUGCCUGAUGGAGGGGGAUAACUACUGGAAACGGUAGCUAAUACCGCAUAACGUCGCAAGACCAAAGUGGGGGACCUUCGGGCCUCAUGCCAUCAGAUGUGCCCAGAUGGGAUUAGCUAGUAGGUGGGGUAAUGGCUCACCUAGGCGACGAUCCCUAGCUGGUCUGAGAGGAUGACCAGCCACACUGGAACUGAGACACGGUCCAGACUCCUACGGGAGGCAGCAGUGGGGAAUAUUGCACAAUGGGCGCAAGCCUGAUGCAGCCAUGCCGCGUGUGUGAAGAAGGCCUUCGGGUUGUAAAGCACUUUCAGCGGGGAGGAAGGCGAUAAGGUUAAUAACCUCAUCGAUUGACGUUACCCGCAGAAGAAGCACCGGCUAACUCCGUGCCAGCAGCCGCGGUAAUACGGAGGGUGCAAGCGUUAAUCGGAUUUACUGGGCGUAAAGCGCACGCGGCGGUCUGUCAGUCGGAUGUGAAAUCCCCGGGCUCACCCUGGGAACUGCAUUCGAAACUGGCAGGCUAGAGUCUUGUAGAGGGGGGUAGAAUUCCAGGUGUAGCGGUGAAAUGCGUAGAGAUCUGGAGGAAUACCGGUGGCGAAGGCGGCCCCCUGGACAAAGACUGACGCUCAGGUGCGAAAGCGUGGGGAGCAAACAGGAUUAGAUACCCUGGUAGUCCACGCCGUAAACGAUGUCGAUUUGGAGGUUGUGCCCUUGAGGCGUGGCUUCCGGAGCUAACGCGUUAAAUCGACCGCCUGGGGAGUACGGCCGCAAGGUUAAAACUCGAAUGAAUUGACGGGGGCCCGCACAAGCGGUGGAGCAUGUGGUUUAAUUCGAUGCAACGCGAAGAACCUUACCUGGUCUUGACAUCCACAGAACUUUCCAGAGAUGGAUUGGUGCCUUCGGGAACUGUGAGACAGGUGCUGCAUGGCUGUCGUCAGCUCGUGUUGUGAAAUGUUGGGUUAAGUCCCGCAACGAGCGCAACCCUUAUCCUUUGUUGCCAGCGGUCCGGCCGGGAACUCAAAGGAGACUGCCAGUGAUAAACUGGAGGAAGGUGGGGAUGACGUCAAGUCAUCAUGGCCCUUACGACCAGGGCUACACACGUGCUACAAUGGCAUAUACAAAGAGAAGCGACCUCGCGAGAGCAAGCGGACCUCAUAAAGUAUGUCGUAGUCCGGAUUGGAGUCUGCAACUCGACUCCAUGAAGUCGGAAUCGCUAGUAAUCGUAGAUCAGAAUGCUACGGUGAAUACGUUCCCGGGCCU
rnacentral:rRNA from 1 species